rnacentral:rRNA from 1 species
CAUGCCUUACACAUGCAAGUCGAACGGUAACAGGGAGCUUGCUCCGCUGACGAGUGGCGAACGGGUGAGUAAUAUAUCGGAACGUACCUUUGAGUGGGGGAUAACUAGUCGAAAGAUUAGCUAAUACCGCAUACGAUCUACGGAUGAAAGUGGGGGCUCGCAAGACCUCAUGCUCAUAGAGCGGCCGAUAUCUGAUUAGCUAGUUGGUGAGGUAAAGGCUCACCAAGGCAUCGAUCAGUAGCUGGUCUGAGAGGACGACCAGCCACACUGGGACUGAGACACGGCCCAGACUCCUACGGGAGGCAGCAGUGGGGAAUUUUGGACAAUGGGGGCAACCCUGAUCCAGCAAUGCCGCGUGAGUGAAGAAGGCCUUCGGGUUGUAAAGCUCUUUUGUCAGGGAAGAAACGGUGAGGGCUAAUAUCCCUUGCUAAUGACGGUACCUGAAGAAUAAGCACCGGCUAACUACGUGCCAGCAGCCGCGGUAAUACGUAGGGUGCAAGCGUUAAUCGGAAUUACUGGGCGUAAAGCGUGCGCAGGCGGUUGUGUAAGACAGGUGUGAAAUCCCCGGGCUUAACCUGGGAAUGGCAUUUGUGACUGCACGGCUAGAGUGUGUCAGAGGGGGGUAGAAUUCCACGUGUAGCAGUGAAAUGCGUAGAGAUGUGGAGGAAUACCGAUGGCGAAGGCAGCCCCCUGGGAUAACACUGACGCUCAUGCACGAAAGCGUGGGGAGCAA